rnacentral:misc_RNA from 1 species
GGUGAAGAACGUAGCGAAAUGCGAUACGUAAUGUGAAUUGCAGAAUUCAGUGAAUCAUCGAAUCUUUGAACGCACAUUGCGCCUGCCAGCACUCUGGCAGGCAUGCCUGUUCGAGCGUCAUUUCAACCAUCAAGCCCUAGGCUUGCGUUGGAGCCCUGCGGCUGCCGCAGGCCCCUAAAAGCAGUGGCGGGCUCGCUAUCACACCGAGUGCAGUAGAUUACUCUUCGCUCAGGGCGUGUGGCGGGUUCCAGCCGUGAAACCCCCUACUUCUCAAGGUUGACCUCGGAUCAGGUAGUAAUACCCGCUGAACUUAAGCAUAUCAAUAAGCGGAGGA